GACGAACCGUGCGAACGUUGUUCGGAAUCACUGGGCUUAAAGGGCGCGUAGGCGGGCCUCCAAGUCCGGGGUGAAAGCCUCCAGCCUAACUGGAGAAGCGCCUCGGAGACUGGGGGCUUCGAGGGAGGUAGGGGCAAGCGGAACUAUGGGUGGAGCGGUGAAAUGCAUUGAUAUCCAUAGGAACUCCGGUGGCGAAGGCGGCUUGCUGGACCUCUUCUGACGCUGAGGCGCGAAAGCCAGGGGAGCAAACGGG
rnacentral:rRNA from 1 species